GUAAUAGACUCAGGUAUCUCAAGGGUGGGUCGGCACACUCCCAAACCAGAAAGGGGGUGAUGCUGAUUGACGGUUUUUGAAACGUUUAUGAUUAUGUUUGGAUUUGCAAGUUUAAUCGUAGCCAUACUGUCAUUUAACCAAAAAAAAUAAUCCACCCUUGAGUUGAUGGCUCAGAUGGAUUAUCCUACCCUAAAAGCCGACCCCUACCUGAGGGACCGUCUAUUGCUGGACCGGACAUGUUUCCACCAUGUUCG
rnacentral:sRNA from 1 species